CCCCUAGAUGUUCUGGGCCGCACGCGCGCUACACUGAACAGUUCAACAAGUCUUAACCUUGGCCGAUAGGUCUGGGUAAUCUUUGAACGCUGUUCGUGAUUGGGAUAGACCUUUGCAAUUAUGGGUCUUCAACGAGGAAUUCCUAGUAAACGCAAGUCAUCAGCCUGCAUUGAUUACGUCCCUGCCCUUUGUACACACCGCCCGUCGCACCUACCGAUUGAAUGGUCCGGUGAAAUCUCGGGACGGCGGCUUGGUCGCUUGCGUCCGACUGCUGAAACUUGAUUAAACCAUNUNAUUUAGNGGAAGGUGAANUCGUANCA
rnacentral:rRNA from 1 species